rnacentral:rRNA from 1 species
GACAGAGGGGGCGAGCGUUGUCCGGAGUCACUGGGCGUAAAGCGCGCGCAGGCGGCAACCUAAGUGUCGUGUGAAAGCCCCGGCUCAACCGGGGGAGGCCAUGGCAAACUGGGUCGCUCGAGCUGCGGAGAGGCCCCUCGAAUUGCCGGUGUAGCGGUGAAAUGCGUAGAUAUCGGCAGGAAGACCAAGGGGGAAGCCAGGGGGCUGGCCGCAGUCUGACGAUGAGGCGCGACAGCGUGGGGAGCAAACCGG